CCAGCCCGCCCGAGCGAUCACCGAGCCUGCCGGUACGGCCGAGGGCAAGCGAGCGGGCCUGCGGGUGUGCCGGCCCUGCGGCAGGGAAUCAUCGAGUCAUCGGGGCUGGAAGAGACCUUUAAGGUCGUCCAGUCCCACCGUCAGCCCAGAACUACCGCUGUGACCCCUAGAACACUAAACCACGUCACCCAGCGCCAGGCACAGCAGAAGAGACCGGCCCCCACCUCACUGCAACCUCCUGUCGGUGGUUGUGAGGAGUGAUGAGGUCGCCCCUGAGCCUUCUUGAGACUAAACAACCCCAGCUGCCUUAGCCCUUUCUCACAAGGCUGAAGGGCCAGAGGAAUACAAAUACCUAACAUUUCCAUUAUUCCGUGGGAUUUUUGAGGAUUCUGAAAUGACGCUCCUUCCCUGGGUUCUCUGCCGACGCCGUUCCCCUCAGCCGUGUGACCGCGAGGGAGGAUCUGGGUCCCGCC